GCUGAGGAGAUGGUAAUGAUAUUCAGCAGUGGCCUCAUCUCUGUGGUCUGCUUUGUGGCCCUCUUGGUUUCCUACAUCUUCUUGCUCACCAUGCUGAAGAAGAACACCACUGGUGAGUCAGCCAGCAAGGCUCUCUCCACUUGCUAUUCGCACAUCACCAUAGUCAUUUUCAUGUUUACCCCUGCCAUCUACAUCUAUGCUCGACCCUUUGAUGAAUAUGCUCCUGACAAGGUGGUCUCUGUCUUCCACACAAUAAUCUUUCCGCUCCUAAACCCCAUUAUUUAUACCCUCAGGAACAAGGAGAUCACCACAGCUAUGAAGAAGGUGGUCAACAGAUACCUCCUGUGCAAGAAAACAUGAGAUCAAUAGAAUGGUAGUCAUCCUGGGGUCUUCCUUGCAUGACCAAGGGUGAGAAGAUAUGGUCAGUUUUAAUAAGGAAACAUCAUUAGGAAACACCAUUUCUCCACAAUUUUCCAGUGGCUUCUUUCGCUUAUGAUUGAUCUCCCCAACCCCUUUCUGCCUCUACACAUUCACACUCUUGAAAUACAUCCAUAUAAAAUAUUCUAUUCAAUUAC